rnacentral:lncRNA from 1 species
UGAGCACAAAAAAGCAGAAAGUGUAUUUCAUGCCUUUUGAACAUAAGAUACAGCAAAAAGGAAAAGAACACAUCAUGAAGAGUUACAGGAAAAACUCCUAAUGUUAAUGCAAUGGUUUGUGCAAUAUGUGACAGCUGUUUGACCCCAUCACUAAAGUCCCCCUUGCCAUGGAAAAGAGUAUGUGAAGAUAAAACACUCUUUAUUCAGACAACUAGACAGAAACAGACUCCUUGGUUCUCUGGCUGCCAGAGAGGCUGUGUAUCUCUGCAUCUGUGUGCCAUCACAAAAACCUUUCCAACACAUGAGCUGCAUAUUCCAGGUAUGGAUGGAACUGAGCACGCUAAAGAUGUCAGACCUCAGCUGCCUCAGGACUUGGAUUUUCCUCAGACAUGUACCUGCCUCCCUGGAAACACAGCUCCAGCAUCCAGCCUUAAGGUUAGAUUCAACCACAUGGCAAAUGAGAAGGCAGCUAUGGACACAGCUGAAUGAUACCUUUGGAUGCUUGUGGUUCAGCAACAUCGCUAUGAGUCACAAAACUCUUACCCAGGGCUACAACUUCCUUAAAUUCUUUGUUAUUAUCAACCUCUGAAAGAAGUAGGAUAUUUCUUUGAUUUCUCCUAUGAAUUCCUCAGAAGAAGUCCACAUUAGAAAUAUUUUUCAUACUUCUACACUGGUUUUAAUUUGAGUAGAUAUAUGUGUUCAAGUGUUGAGCAAUAUUUGCUGUAAACCACAGUUAAAUCCAUUUCUAAGAACAUAUAGGUGAGAACAAGAAGUACAACACCUUCUAAUGCCUGUAAAGGGUGUUCUUGUCAAAUGAGGUAUUUCAUAACUUUCCUAGAUGGAAAUAAUGAUCUUGGGAGAGUAUUGCCCUAAGUACAAGAGAUGGAAUAUUUUCUUUCUUCUGAUCAUCUAUUGCAAUUUUCCCCUUUAUGGAGAGAAAGAUGGUCUGCAGUCAUUUGACAUGAGCAUAUUGGGGUCUCCAGAAGGUCUUCAAACAGAACUCAGAGAAUUAAAAAACUGGCAAAAUUCAAGUCUAUUUAAUGCUUUAAAUGUUGAGGCAUGUAUAAUAACAAUCAAACAGCAAAGGGGAAUUUAUAUGAUUCAGUUGAACAGAGAAUGAGAAGGAAGUGGGACUCUCCCUGUCAAUGUAAAAGACUGUGGAAUAAUGAAAAGGGGAAAGAAACUCAGAAAUCCAUCAAUGCAACAUGUAGAACAUACAGCAACAAUACAAAAGCUGCACUUGUUUGACCUUGCAAUUUGAAUCUGGUCAUCCUAGUGUGUAUGAAAUUUGGAAAUAUUAAGCACAAGAAAAAUGUAAAAUAUUCAUAGCAUCAUGAAUGCUGCCUAGAGAAACUGUUGUGAAGGUUUUCUCAUUACUGAUACUUGGAGAGGUAAGUGAUAGAAAUGACUGUGGGAUGAGUAAUAAGUAAAAAUAUGCACUCAGACUGAUUCAAACCAAUAUGAAUUAUGCCUGAGUCAAUAAUGACUGUAGGAUAGAUAUACUGGACUUGAUUUUCCUCUGGCUUACAACUCUGAAAAUUAAAAUUAAUUCAAGAGACUACAUACUAUUAAAUGUGGGAACACCUACUUCCAGUUUGUAAGGUCUGUACUUAAGGAAAAGUUCUGUUUUGUUGUUGAGUUCAAAAAAUUGGGAUGAAAUCCCAAAGUUUGUCUCAAGCCAAUAAAUUUUGUGCUCUGUCACA